rnacentral:rRNA from 1 species
UACGGAGGUGGCAAGCGUUGUUCGGAAUUACUGGGCGUAAAGGGCGCGUAGGCGGCAUGGCAAGUCAGAUGUGAAAGCCCCGGGCUUAACCCGGGAAUUGCAUCUGAAACUGCUUUGCUUGAGUCCUGGAGGGGGUAGUGGAAUUCCCAGUGUAGCGGUGAAAUGCGUAGAUAUUGGGAGGAACACCUGCGGCGAAGGCGGCUACCUGGACAGUGACUGACGCUGAGGCGCGAAAGCUAGGGGAGCGAACGGG